UUUCGAAUCAUUCACAAUGGGCGAAAGCCUGAUGGUGCGACGCCGCGUGAGGGAUGAAGGUCUUCGGAUUGUAAACCUCUGUCACCGGGGACGAAACUCUUUGAGUUAAUAGUUCAAAGAUUGACUUAACCCGGAGAGGAAGCAGUGGCUAACUCUGUGCCAGCAGCCGCGGUAAUACAGAGACUGCAAGCGUUAUUCGGAUUUACUGGGCGUAAAGGGUGCGCAGGCGGUUAUGUGUGUGAUGUGUGAAAUCCCAAGGCUCAACCUUGGAAUUGCACUUCAAACUACAUGACUAGAGCAUUGGAGAGGGUAGCAGAAUUCAUGGUGUAGCAGUGAAAUGCGUAGAUAUCAUGAGGAAUACCAGAGGCGAAGGCGGCUACCUAGA
rnacentral:rRNA from 1 species